AAGGGCUCAUAAAAACACUAAGCUGAGAAGCAGGCUCUUUCACAGUGGGACGUAAUGCCAAGAAAAAAGAAGAAGAUAAUAUAUUGAUGAGACAUAACUAGGGUGACCAUGUCCUGGAGAUUCAGGACAUUUGCAAUUUUCACAAUUUUCCUAUGCAAAUUCCAAAUUUUAUCACUUUUUCGAAGACACUAUUGUGUUUUGACUUUUGAUGUUGCUAGGUAUCGAACAAGUACUUUUUCAAGGUUAUUGUUUGUAGUCUAUCAUAAAACACAGUAGGAAUCCUCUUUGCGCUUAAAAUUACAUCAAGCAUCUCGUCUGAUCAUAACCAACAGGAAUCCUUUACGAAUCUACCGAGGGUCUCUAAAUAUCCGUGUAUCUUUCUAGCUUAUUAUGAGCGCUAAUGGCUGCCGCAAACAUGCUUCCUGUUUGGUACGGGUCAGUGAAUUUGACGUAAUUUACAUUAGCGCUCCUGGACUAAUCCAGGAAAUCAUGCAACAAUUUAUCCAUGUUUUAUUUUAAACUGCUUAGUUUCUGAUCGAGAUCUCGCUGUGAAAUUACUACGAAUGUCAAAAAAAAGCCUAAGAAUGUCAAAAGUAUAAAUUAUAAAAUCUUAAAAAAUAUUGCAUCAAAAAAUAAUCAAGUUCAUGCAAGGAAAUGCCACUUAUAUUCUUUGAAUUUUAGUUUCACAAAGAAUCUGCUAACAAUCUGUUAAGAAAUCUCAUAAAAAAGCUUAGUUUAGUUUCCAUUGAUAUCGCGAAGAUCUCGCUUAGAAAUUCUGAAAAGUGCUACAAAAAAAAAAAAAAAAAAUGAUCCGAGUUGUAAGAAAUUUGACUAAAAUCUUCAC